rnacentral:misc_RNA from 1 species
AGAAUAUGUUAUUCAACAGGCUUGUUUCAACGUUUGUUUUUGUUUAUACAUGUAUUUUAGCCAAUCUUUGCUGCACUAUUUCCCUGAUGUUUUUGUCUUAUUAAACUCGGUAUAAAAACAUAUUUUUUUUUUCAUUUUUCAGCUUACCGAGAUGCGGACAUCGCGUGCGAUACCGGGGGACUGGCGUUUUACCGGAACCUGCUCCGGUCCCGACAGACCACGCGGCGGAUUCCGUAAGACACCGCGAAACACCGGACGGUGUGGUGCCCAAUAAAUUAAAUCAUUACUGAAAACAAAUUCAAUUAAUUGAUGAAGCUUGAGUGGCAAUUUAAUAGAGAGAAAAAAACCAGACCCCUUGUUUUCUGUUUUGUUUAAAGGUUUUUUUUUUGGAUAGCCGGGGAGUGCUUAGCAUAUGUAUCUUACCAGCUGAACUCUCUCGGAGUUGAAAGAGGCAUAAUUUGGUUGUUGUUGUGCUGUUGUGCAAUCUUUCAUUAAGUUUCUAUCACGCUGCUUCCUUUGAGUGGUGGUGACUUAGCAUGUAAGGUUAAGUUUAUUAGAGGAUUGUCAGAUGGGAAAAGAACCUUGUCUAUCCCUUUGUUUAUUCCUUUUUUCUUGAUAUAAAAAUCUUUAAUGAGAAAAAGGGGCUUUAAGGAGGGGUUUAUAUAGCCUUUACAUGUACCUGUUACUCAAUUCAUUUGAUCUUAUCGAUGAAAUAACUUUAAAUUAGAUUAAAUUAAUUAAGUUUAGCUCGAAAUUUUUGUUUGACAGAUAGUUUAAUAUAUUUUUAAUUCUUUCGACUUUAUGUAAAAUAUUGUCAUUUUGUGAUUUUAAAAUCUCUAAGGUGGGUCUAAAUACAAAACUGCUAAUAUUAUCAGCAUUGACUUCGUAUGCACAGUAUAGUAAAAUUAUGAUUUACAUUAUUAUGGCCUACAGGUAAACCUACGUGGUUUCACGUUGUUUUGUUUAUUUUUUUUUUAUACAUAAGAUGUGUAUCAGCUGUAAAUGGGUGUUCGGGGAUUGUUAAUAUCUUGAUAUGAAUCAUUCUACAGUAUAUGUGAUUUGAAAUGUCUUUUCUUUGCAGCCAUAUCCCGUCCUACAGCAGAUUCCCACGCACGUUUCGAACACGUCGCGCCGCCACGGGGGACCUGAGUCGUCUCUGGCAAGAUGGCGUCAUUCCAUACCAAAUCCAGUCCAACUUUACAGCCCACCAAAAAGCCAUCUUUGUGUCUGCCAUGCGUCACUGGGAAAACUACACAUGCAUCACCUUCGUGGAAAGAACAACCGAACCCGACUUCAUUGUAUUUACACAAAGACCAUGCGGAUGUUGCUCGUUUGUUGGGAGGGAGUUACGGGGAGCCCAAGCCAUUUCCAUCGGAAAGAAUUGUGAUAAGUUUGGCAUCGUUGUUCAUGAACUGGGUCACGUGAUUGGCUUUUGGCACGAACACACUCGGCCAGACAGAGAUAACUAUAUACAAAUUCUGAGCGAAAAUAUCAAAGAAAAUCAUGACAAUAAUUUUGCAAAGAUGACCUUGACCGAGAUCAACUCUCUUGGAGAGGAGUAUGAUUUCUCGAGCAUUAUGCAUUACGCUAGAAACACGUUUUCGAAGUCGAGUGACUUGGAUACUUUGGUCCCAAAGACGCUAACAGCAGAUAUACCAGAGAUCGGUCAAAGGCAACGUCUGAGUGUAGGAGACAUCAUCCAAACCAAUAAACUGUAUAAAUGUCCAAGUUGUGGUGCGACGCACCAGGAAUCGUCCGGCACCAUAUCUUUCAACGCGUCUGGAGGGGUCACCAAACAGUGCCAGUGGCGGAUCACGGCGGCAUACGGCGAGAAAAUCAACCUUAACAUAACCUCACUUACCAUAACAGACACCCCCGAUGUGUGCUCGAAUAGCUUUCUGGAAAUUCGCGACGGACAUUUCAAAAAAUCACCCCUGAUCGGUCGUUACUGUGGAAGUAAACUUCCUCCGGCAAUUAAAUCUACCGGAAAUAGACUGUGGCUUGCAUUCGAAACAAAAUCUUCCGAAGACUCCAGAUUUGCAGCAAGUUUUGAAGCAAUGUGCGGGGGAAAGAUCAACACCAACGCCGGCCACCUGACCAGCCCUAACUACCCGGAUGACUACCACCCUAACAAGAAUUGUGUGUGGGUGAUAACUGUCAGUCAGGGUUACACAGUUGGUCUAGUGUUUGAUUAUCUGGAGAUUGAAAGCCAUGAUGACUGCGUAUAUGAUCACUUAGAAAUCCGAGACGGAGGCGAUAAGAACGCGAAUGUCCUCGCAAUGCUUUGUGGGUAUAAUCUACCUGCUCCGAUCAAAUCAACUUCAAACCAAAUCUACAUCAAAUUCUUCUCCGAUGACAGCGUCAUGAAGCGCGGGUUCUCCUUAAACUUCAUUGCUGAAAUUGACGAAUGCGCAACCGGAACUCAUGGCUGUGAGCAGAUUUGUAUCAACACGAUGGGAGGUUACAAGUGUGAUUGUAAACUAGGCUAUGAACUCCAUUCUGACGGCAAAAAGUGUGAAGAUGCGUGUGGUGGAUAUCUGGAGAGUCAGACUGGGACGCUGUACAGUCCGUCGUUUCCGGACACGUACCCGCCCUCCAAAACCUGUGUGUGGGAGAUCAAGGCCCCGGAACAGUACAAAAUCACCCUCACCUUCACACACAUUGAUAUGGAGGGAAGAAACCAAGAAUGUGAGUACGACUAUGUGGAGGUAACUGGAGGGGCAGGAUACAACAAACCGUACGGACGAUUCUGUGGACGGGAACUUCCGGACGCCAUUACUUCCGAUUCCAACUCCCUCCAGGUCAAGUUUAACUCCGACGAUUCCGUCCAAAGUACAGGCUUCCAGGCAGAAUACUUCAUUGACAAAGAUGAAUGCGCAAUACGAAGAGGAGGCUGCCAGCACACCUGUAUAAAUACAAUAGGAAGUUACAUGUGCGCGUGUCAUAACGGAUAUACGCUCCAUGAAAACAAACACGAUUGCAAGGAAGAUGUUGAAGGUUGUCGACAUUAUCUAAACGAUCACAAAGGCGUAAUAGUCAGUCCGCUGUGGCCAAAAUAUUAUCCUAGCAAAUCAAACUGCGAAUGGAGGAUAACAACUGCGCCCGGGCAUCGCAUCAAGUUGACCUUCGACGAGUUUUCUAUAGAGCCCCACGACCAAUGCGUUUACGAUUACAUUGAGCUGUUUUCCGCCCCUAGCAAGCUCCUGGGGAAAUAUUGCGGGGGCAUUAGUGACGUCCCGAGCGACAUCAUCUCUGACGAAGAGGAACUGAUCGUCAAGUUUAAGUCCGAUGAUUCAGUUCAAAGACAUGGGUUCCAGGCUGCAUAUUCUUCUGUCUGCGGAGGAGACCUAAAUGCUACAUCAGAACGAAAGACAAUCUACUCUCAUGCAAAGUACAGUGACCAGAACUACCCCAACAAUGCCAGGUGUGAAUGGACCAUAAAGGCAUCCCCAGGGGCCAAGGUCAGCCUCAAGUUCACCACCUUUGACCUCGAGGAUGGGAAAGAUGAGUGUGGGUAUGAUGUUGUAGAAUUGUAUGAUGGCGUGAAGGAAAAGAACAAGCUUCUUGGAUCCUAUUGCGAUGUUCAGCUUCCACCGAAAACUGUCACAACUUCAGACAAAUUGAUCAUUGUUUUUAAUACUGACAAUACAGUCACGUGGAAAGGAUUUGCCGCGGAGUACCAAGAAGUGGUAGCAUAAAGCGGAAAUGACGUCUAUAAAAGCAUCGUCUGCUGCUUUGUAAAUACUCGCCUCUCCUCUCUGAAAUGGCAAAAAGGACUCGUAAAGUGUCCCUAAAAUACACCAAAGAACCCUAAAAACAUACACUGUACGUGAAAAUAAAGUCACAUUUACCAUAUUGUCAGGUUACUGUAAACCAAUGUACACGGUUGACUUGCUUUUAAUGUAAUUGACCUUUUCGUUAAAACCAUUUCCUUUUAUCAAAAAUUUUCUGUUUUCAUUCUAUUUAAGUUCACAUUUAAACAAAACAAAAUAUUUACCAUAGAUUUUUUAUGUACUUUUUAUUACAUGUAUAUAUAUAUAUAAAAACAAUAUCAAACAACAUGUAUGUAUACAUGAACAUGUAUCUUAAUAUAUCACAGUCACUGUAGAUUUAAAUUGCCGACAUAACUUUCAUGCUUAUAAUUGUUUUUAACUUCAAUCUUCAUAACAUUAAAAUAAUAAUCUGAUGUUCGUUUUUUCUUCAAAUAAAUAUACAAGUGC